UACGGAGGGGGCUAGCGUUGUUCGGAAUUACUGGGCGUAAAGCGCACGUAGGCGGCUUUGUAAGUUAGAGGUGAAAGCCCGGAGCUCAACUCCGGAAUUGCCUUUAAGACUGCAUCGCUAGAAUUGUGGAGAGGUAAGUGGAAUUCCGAGUGUAGAGGUGAAAUUCGUAGAUAUUCGGAAGAACGCCAGUGGCGAAGGCGACUUACUGGACACAUAUUGACGCUGAGGUGCGAAAGCGUGGGGAGCAAACAGG
rnacentral:rRNA from 1 species